rnacentral:rRNA from 1 species
UACGGAGGGUGCAAGCGUUGUUCGGAAUUAUUGGGCGUAAAGCGUGCGUAGGCGGACUGUUAAGUCUGAUGUGAAAUCCCGCGGCUCAACCGCGGACGUGCAUUGGAUACUGGCAGUCUUGAGUCCCGGAGAGGAGAGCGGAAUUCCUAGUGUAGAGGUGAAAUUCGUAGAUAUUAGGAGGAACACCAGUGGCGAAAGCGGCUCUCUGGACGGUGACUGACGCUGAGGCACGAAAGCAUAGGUAGCAAACAGG